rnacentral:tRNA from 1 species
AUCUUUCUAGUAUAAAACGAGUACCUGUGAUUUCCACUCACCCGGUCUUGGUUAGACCCCAAGGUUAGAUA